GGUCUGCGCGGAAGAUGUAACGGGGCUAAACCAUGCACCGAAGCUGUGGACUUGCGCUUUGCGCAAGUGGUAGAGGAGCGUUCUGUAAGCCGUUGAAGGUAUCUCGUGAGGGGCGCUGGAGGUAUCAGAAGUGCGAAUGCUGACAUAAGUAACGAUAAGGGGAGUGAAAAACUUCCCCGCCGGAAGACCAAGGGUUCCUAUCCCAUGCUAAUCAGGGUAGGGUAAGUCGGCCCCUAAGGCGAGGCAGAAAUGCGUAGUCGAUGGGAAACGGGUUAAUAUUCCCGUACCGACAAUACUGCGAUGGGGGGACGGAGAAAGCUAGGCAGGCAUGGCGUUGGUAGUCCAUGUGAAAGUGCGUAGGAAGGGGGAUUAGGCAAAUCCGGUUCCCUAUAUUCUGAGACACGAGACGAGCCACUACGGUGGUGAAGCUGUUGACGCUACGCUUCCAGGAAAAGCCUCUAAGCUUCAGGUAUUGUCGACCGUACUCGAAACCGACACAGGUGGUCAGGUAGAGCAUACCAAGGCGCUUGAGAGAACUCUGGUGAAGGAACUAGGCAAAAUAGUACCGUAACUUCGGGAGAAGGUACGCUCUUGUGUGUGAAGGACUUGCUCCGUAAGCAUAUGAGAGUCGCAGUGACCAGCUGGCUGCAACUGUUUAUUAAAAACACAGCACUCUGCAAACACGAAAGUGGACGUAUAGGGUGUGACGCCUGCCCGGUGCUGGAAGAUUAAAUGAUGGGGUGCAAGCUCUUGAUUGAAGUCCCAGUAAACGGCGGCCGUAACUAUAACGGUCCUAAGGUAGCGAAAUUCCUUGUCGGGUAAGUUCCGACCUGCACGAAUGGCGUAACGAUGGCGGCGCUGUCUCCACCCGAGACUCAGUGAAAUUGAAAUCGCUGUGAAGAUGCAGUGUAUCCGCGGCUAGACGGAAAGACCCCGUGAACCUUUACUAUAGCUUUGCACUGGACUUUGAAUUUGCUUGUGUAGGAUAGGUGGGAGGCUUUGAAGCGUGGACGCCAGUUCGCGUGGAGCCAUCCUUGAAAUACCACCCUGGCAACUUUGAGGUUCUAACUCAGGUCCGUUAUCCGGAUCGAGGACAGUGUAUGGUGGGUAGUUUGACUGGGGCGGUCUCCUCCUAAAGAGUAACGGAGGAGUACGAAGGUGCGCUCAGACCGGUCGGAAAUCGGUCGUAGAGUAUAAAGGCAAAAGCGCGCUUGACUGCGAGACAGACACGUCGAGCAGGUACGAAAGUAGGUCUUAGUGAUCCGGUGGUUCUGUAUGGAAGGGCCAUCGCUCAACGGAUAAAAGGUACUCCGGGGAUAACAGGCUGAUACCGCCCAAGAGUUCAUAUCGACGGCGGUGUUUGGCACCUCGAUGUCGGCUCAUCACAUCCUGGGGCUGAAGCCGGUCCCAAGGGUAUGGCUGUUCGCCAUUUAAAGUGGUACGCGAGCUGGGUUUAGAACGUCGUGAGACAGUUCGGUCCCUAUCUGCCGUGGACGUUUGAGAUUUGAGAGGGGCUGCUCCUAGUACGAGAGGACCGGAGUGGACGAACCUCUGGUGUUCCGGUUGUCACGCCAGUGGCAUUGCCGGGUAGCUAUGUUCGGAAUAGAUAACCGCUGAAAGCAUCUAAGCGGGAAACUAGCCUCAAGAUGAGAUCUCACUGGGACCUUGA
rnacentral:rRNA from 1 species